rnacentral:tRNA from 2 species
GCCGGAGUAGCUCAGCGGUAGAGCACCAGUUUUGUAAACUGGGUGCCGUGGGUUCGACACCCACCUCCGGCUCAA